rnacentral:lncRNA from 1 species
GGACUACAAUGCACCAGACUUGUAAACACCUAACUGCUAACCCUCACAGCCACUUUUCAAUUCCAUUUUUAAAAAGGAAAACGGGGGGCUAAGCAAAAUGAAGCAACUUGACUGAAGUGUCUCAAGUGGUAGCUGGUGAGUUGGUGGGGCUAUGAUGCAAGCUUAUCUGGAUCCAACCCCUGCAUUCCUUCUAUUGCACCUAUUUGGCCAAAGGCAAGGACACGCCCCAGGCCAGGAGAGGAUGGGCUUUCCUAGGGCAGAACCCCUGGGGUUCACCUGGGUCAUUGGCUACCAGAGACCCUAGGAGGAGACCCUCAAUCUGCUGGGAGCCGAGCCCCGUGGGCUCCUCAGCUCUGGGCUCCCUGUGUAGGGAGACAGUGCUCUUGACUAACACACAUCAGGCUGCCAGCCUCAGUUUGUAUUUUUACAGUCCACUAAUUAGGCCAUUUUAACUAAUUUGUUUGCAUUUUGUAUGAGCAAGUUGGGCUUUUGGAUUGACUAAUGUAAUUGCAGCUGGUUUCUGCCAAAUACAAAUUACUCAGUCUAGUGUGGGCUAGAGAGAAAAGCAAAUAUUUAAUAGACAUCAAUACCCUUGUAGCUUUUUAGUGGAGCCUUUUCCUCCCCACUGGAAAGUUGAAAUAAUUUUCCCUGCAUCUGAUUGAACUUUCAUGUUAGGAAAUUACUUUUUAAUCAUUUUUUUAAAAAAAAUAAUGAGGCAAAUGCUUUAGUGGCUCUGUUGAGGUUUAUCUCUGAUCCAUUUACCCCUAAGCUCAGGAAACUUAGGGGACUUUUCCAUUUCCAGGCUGCCUUUGCAUAACCUCUUUCUGCUGAGGCCCCUCCUGCCACCACCAAACCAUCCACAUCACUGAUGGCCACAGCCAGAAGGGGCCUGAAAGAUCCUCUGUCUGAUGGUUCUCAGCGUGUGGUCCGUGGACCGGGAAAUCAGCAUCACCCGGGAGGCACAGCCCCCAAGCUUAGCCCAGUACUUGCGGGCACGGGUGUCGGAAAGGAGGUUGCUAUGAAGAACAAAACAAAAUGGAUUGCAUGUGUGGAGGUGAGCUGGCGAAUACUGAUAAAUGUACUUCACUGA